AUGGGCCCAGCUGCUGGAUGGGUGAGGGAAAGGACUGUCCUACUCUGUGCUGUGCAGCCUCAUCUCAAGCACCGUGUGCAGGGUUGGGUGCAUCAACAUAAGAAGGGCAGAGAACUAUUCCUAUUCAAUACCCUUGCCAGAGUUCAAGGAGCUCGGGCAGCGGUCUCAGACGUAGGGUUUGGAUUUUGUACGUGGAGCCAGGAGUUGGACCCAACUCUCCUUGCAGGUCCCGUGCCCCGCGCCACCGCGCACAGCUGGGCAGCGCAGGAGCCGAGCAGCCCGAGGCCGGGGCCAGCCCCUCUCUGCUGCCCCACGGCGCCCCUUCCCGGGCUCCCCUUACAGCCAGCGUUUGACUUCUUCAUUUUCUCGGCCGCAAAAGCGGUGACAAAUUGCUCAGGCUUCGUUUCUCUGCUGCGCCCACGGCGUGAUUUAUUGUGGCCGCGUUAUCGUGAAAUCAGGCUCCAUUCACAAUGUUUUUCUGGGAGAACUCGAUCCGCUCGCUGUUUAUUUGCCCCGUCCCUCCUCAUUAGCGUCACCGAUCCGCGAUGGCCCCGCUCGGUUCCAAACCGGCCCCGCUCGCACCUCGUCCCGCCCGCGGCUCGGAGGGGACAGCGCGGACGGACGAACGGCCGUCGGACAAACCGGAGGGAGACGCAGCGAUGCGGCGGGGAACAAACUCGCUGCAAACACCGUCUGACCCCGGUCCCGCCGCUCCAACCCACGCCGCGGCGCAGCCCAACCGCAGCCGCCGGGCCGGGCCUUCCCCCCGCGGCGGGGGGCGGUCGCUGGCCGCGGGCGGUGGCGGGGCCAGGUGCGUCCAGCCCCGCGCCGGGUUAUAAAGGGGCCGGGCCGGGCGGGCGGCUGGUGCGGCCGAACGGUAAGUGCGGGUCGGUGUCACGUCGGGGCUUCUCGCUCUAUUUUCUUCUUUUUUUUCUCCCUUCUUUCCUUCAUCCCCGCUUCUUUCCCGCAGCACAUAGCAAUGAGGAAGCGUUGUGCUGUUUUCUUUUGCAAACUAUCCAAGUCUCGAACUGA
rnacentral:lncRNA from 1 species